rnacentral:rRNA from 1 species
UAAAGCGUGCGCAGGCGGUUUGUAAGACUGUCGUGAAAUCCCCGGGCUCAACCUGGGAAUGGCGAUGGUGACUGCAAGGCUAGAGUUUGGCAGAGGGGGGUAGAAUUCCACGUGUAGCAGUGAAAUGCGUAGAUAUGUGGAGGAACACCGAUGGCGAAGGCAGCCCCCUGGGUCAAAACUGACGCUCAUGCACGAAAGCGUGGGGAGCAAACAGGAUUAGAUACCCGAGU